rfam:Halanaerobium praevalens DSM 2228, complete genome.
AGGAGCCGUAUGACGCGAGAGUGUCACGUACGGAUCUGUGAGGGGCUGGUAAUGAAAUUUUAUCGGUCUACUCGAC